rnacentral:rRNA from 1 species
AACUCGAUCUCAAAUCAAGUAAGACUACCCGCUGAACUUAAGCAUAUCAAUAAGCGGAGGAAAAGAAACUAACAAGGAUUCCCCUAGUAACGGCGAGUGAAGCGGGAUGAGCUCAAAUUUAAAGUCUGGCUGGUUUACUAGUCCGAAUUGUAGUUUAUAGAAGCGUUUUCGGUGGCAGCCUGGGUAUAAAUCCUUUGGAAUAGGGUAUCAUAGAGGGUGAGAAUCCCGUCUUUGACUCAGUGCAUGCUACUAUGUGAUACGUUUUCAAAGAGUCGAGUUGUUUGGGAAUGCAGCUCAAAAUGGGUGGUAAAUUUCAUCUAAAGCUAAAUAUUGGCGAGAGACCGAUAGCGAACAAGUACCGUGAGGGAAAGAUGAAAAGAACUUUGAAAAGAGAGUUAAACAGUGCGUGAAAUUGUUGAAAGGGAAACGUUUGACACCAGUUAUGCGGGUGGAAAAUCAGUCUUUUGCAAUGGGGAGUUGUGGGCGUUCAGACCGCAAGGCUGGCGUUUGCUUCAUCUUUGUUGUAAGUGAUGCACUUUUUCAUUUGCAGGUCAACAUCAGUUUGCUUUGCUGGACAAAACCCCAAGGGAAGGUGGCAGCUUAGGCUGUGUUAUAGCCCUGGGGCGAUACAGUGGAGUGGACUGAGGUUUCGCAGUGUGUGCUCUCGGGCAAGGCUGACUGGGUGCUAUGGGAUCGUUCGGCGUACAAUGCAUGCAUUUUGCGUCGUGUCUUUUUCAUACUCGCUCAACUCGGCUCUUCCACACUUAGGAUGUUGACUUAAUGGUUUUAAACGACCCGUCUUGAAACACGGACCAAGGAGUCUAACAUAUAUGCAAGUG